rnacentral:rRNA from 1 species
CAGUCGCCGCGGGAAUACGGAGGGUGCAAGCGUUAAUCGGAAUUACUGGGCGUAAAGCGCACGCAGGCGGUUUGUUAAGUCAGAUGUGAAAUCCCCGAGCUUAACUUGGGAACUGCAUUUGAAACUGGCAAGCUAGAGUCUUGUAGAGGGGGGUAGAAUUCCAGGUGUAGCGGUGAAAUGCGUAGAGAUCUGGAGGAAUACCGGUGGCGAAGGCGGCCCCCUGGACAAAGACUGACGCUCAGGUGCGAAAGCGUGGGGAGCAAACAGGAUUAGAGACCCCAGUAGUCCCUGUCUCUUAUAA